CGCAGGGGGGCAGCUACACAUGCAGUCGAGCGAGAACUUCGGUUCUAGCGGCGGACGGGUUAGUAACGCGUGGGAACGUGCCCUUCACUACGGAAUAGUCCCGGGAAACUGGGUUUAAUACCGUAUACGCCCUUCGGGGGAAAGAAUUUCGGUGAAGGAUCGGCCCGCGUUAGAUUAGAUAGUUGGUGGGGUAACGGCCUACCAAGUCUACGAUCUAUAGCUGGUUUUAGAGGAUGAUCAGCAACACUGGGACUGAGACACGGCCCAGACUCCUACGGGAGGCAGCAGUGGGGAAUCUUAGACAAUGGGCGCAAGCCUGAUCUAGCCAUGCCGCGUGAGUGAUGAAGGCCUUAGGGUCGUAAAGCUCUUUCGCCAGGGAUGAUAAUGACAGUACCUGGUAAAGAAACCCCGGCUAACUCCGUGCCAGCAGCCGCGGUAAUACGGAGGGGGUUAGCGUUGUUCGGAAUUACUGGGCGUAAAGCGCGCGUAGGCGGAUUGGAAAGUUGGGGGUGAAAUCCCAGGGCUCAACCCUGGAACUGCCUCCAAAACUAUCAGUCUAGAGUUCGAGAGAGGUGAGUGGAACUCCGAGUGUAGAGGUGAAAUUCGUAGAUAUUCGGAAGAACACCAGUGGCGAAGGCGGCUCACUGGCUCGAUACUGACGCUGAGGUGCGAAAGUGUGGGGAGCAAACAGGAUUAGAUACCCUGGUAGU
rnacentral:rRNA from 1 species